rnacentral:snRNA from 1 species
AGCUCUGUGCACUGACUUUAUCAGAGCCAAUGAGGUUUAACCGUGACUCUAUUUUUGCUGAUUGAAAACUUCUCCUAUUACCCUGCUAUAUCAACUUGAAUACGCAUUGGUAAAUAUCAGAGCACAAAGAUUCGAAAUCUUUG